rnacentral:rRNA from 1 species
GAUGAACGCUGGCGGCGUGCCUAAUACAUGCAAGUCGAGCGAACGGAUGAGAAGCUUGCUCCUCUGAUGUUAGCGGCGGACGGGUGAGUAACACGUGGAUAACCUACCUAUAAGACUGGGAUAACUUCGGGAAACCGGAGCUAAUACCGGAUAAUAUUUUGAACCGCAUGGUUCAAAAGUGAAAGACGGUCUUGCUGUCACUUAUAGAUGGAUCCGCGCUGCAUUAGCUAGUUGGUAAGGUAACGGCUUACCAAGGCAACGAUGCGUAGCCGACCUGAGAGGGUGAUCGGCCACACUGGAACUGAGACACGGUCCAGACUCCUACGGGAGGCAGCAGUAGGGAAUCUUCCGCAAAGGGCGAAAGCCUGACGGAGCAACGCCGCGUGAGUGAUGAAGGUCUUCGGAUCGUAAAACUCUGUUAUUAGGGAAGAACAAAUGUGUAAGUAACUGUGCACAUCUUGACGGUACCUAAUCAGAAAGCCACGGCUAACUACGUG